CACGUAGGCACCAAGCGUUGUCCGGAUUUAUUGGGCGUAAAGGGCUCGUAGGCGGUCCAUCGCGUCGGGAGUGAAAAGCUGGGGCUCAACCCCAGUCCUGCUUCCGAUACGGGUGGACUAGAGGUAUGCAGGGGAGAACGGAAUUCCUGGUGUAGCGGUGAAAUGACGCAGAUAUCAGGAGGAACACCGGUGGCGAAGGCGGUUCUCUGGGCAUUACCUGACGCUGGAGGAGCGAAAGUGUGGGGAGCGAACAGG
rnacentral:rRNA from 1 species